rnacentral:rRNA from 1 species
AUUGAACGCUGGCGGCAGGCCUAACACAUGCAAGUCGAACGAGUGGCGGACGGGUGAGUAAUGUUUGGGAAUCUAGCUUAUGGAGGGGUAUAACUACGGGAAACUGUAGCUAAUACCGCGUACCAUAGUAUGAGUCCAAGUGGGUUUCGUUAGUUGGUGAGGUAAAGGCUCACAAAGCCGACGACCUCUAGCUGGUCUGAGAGGAUGACCAGCAACACUGGGAACGAGAGACGGGCCAGACUCCCACGGGAGGCACGAGUGGGGAAAAUUGCGCAAAGGGGGCAACGUGACGCAGCCAAGCCGCGUGAAUGAAGAAGGCCUUCGGGUUGUAAAGGUCUUUCGCUAGCGAGGCGGUAACUACAGAAGAAGCACCGGCUAACUACGUGCCAGCAGCCGCGGUAAUAC